rnacentral:rRNA from 1 species
GUGCCAGCCGCCGCGGUAAUACAGGGGGGGCAAGCGUUGUUCGGAAUUAUUGGGCGUAAAGGGUUCGUAGGCGGUCGACUCAGUCAGACGUGAAAUCCCUCGGCUUAACCGGGGAACUGCGUCUGAUACUGGUUGGCUUGAGUGCAGGAGAGGAAUGCGGAAUUCCAGGUGUAGCGGUGAAAUGCGUAGAUAUCUGGAGGAACACCGGUGGCGAAAGCGGCUCACUGGAUCGAUACUGACGCUGAGGUGCGAAAGCUAGGGUAGCAAACGGGAUUAGAUACCCCCGUAGUCC